rnacentral:rRNA from 1 species
AUUGAACGCUGGCGGCAUGCCUUACACAUGCAAGUCGAACGGUAACGGGCCUUCGGGUGCCGACGAGUGGCGCACGGGUGAGUAAUACAUCGGAACGUGCCCGAUCGUGGGGGAUAACGAGGCGAAAGCUUUGCUAAUACCGCAUACGAUCUACGGAUGAAAGCAGGGGACCGCAAGGCCUUGCGCGGACGGAGCGGCCGAUGGCAGAUUAGGUAGUUGGUGGGAUAAAAGCAUACCAAGCCGACGAUCUGUAGCUGGUCUGAGAGGAUGAUCAGCCACACUGGGACUGAGACACGGCCCAGACUCCUACGGGAGGCAACAGUGGGGAAUUUUGGACAAUGGGCGCAAGCCUGAUCCAGCCAUGCCGCGUGCAGGAUGAAGGCCUUCGGGUUGUAAACUGCUUUUGUACGGAACGAAAAGCCUUCUUUUAAUACAGGAGGGUCAUGACGGUACCGUAAGAAUAAGCACCGGCUAACUACGUG